UACGGAGGGAGCUAGCGUUGUUCGGAAUUACUGGGCGUAAAGCGCACGUAGGCGGCUUUGUAAGUUAGAGGUGAAAGCCCGGAGCUCAACUCCGGAACUGCCUUUAAGACUGCAUCGCUUGAAUCCAGGAGAGGUGAGUGGAAUUCCGAGUGUAGAGGUGAAAUUCGUAGAUAUUGGGAGGAACACCAGUGGCGAAGGCGGCUACCUGGACCGGUUCUGACGCUGAGGCGCGAAAGCGUGGGUAGCAAACAGG
rnacentral:rRNA from 1 species